GGAUUAGAUACCCUGGUAGUCCACGCCGUAAACGAUGUCUACUAGCAGUUCGUCUCUUUACGAGAUGUCUUGCGCAGCUAACGCAUUAAGUAGACCGCCUGGGGAGUACGGCCGCAAGGUUAAAACUCAAAUGAAUUGACGGGGGCCCGCACAAGCGGUGGAGCAUGUGGUUUAAUUCGAUGCAACGCGAAGAACCUUACCAUCCCUUGACAUCCAGAGAAUUUUCUAGAGAUAGAUUAGUGCCUUCGGGAACUCUGAGACAGGUGCUGCAUGGCUGUCGUCAGCUCGUGUCG
rnacentral:rRNA from 1 species